CUCAGUUCAGAUUGCAGGCUGCAACCCGCCUGCAUGAAGUCGGAAUUGCUAGUAAUCGCGGAUCAGCAUGCCGCGGUGAAUACGUUCCCGGGCCUUGUACACACCGCCCGUCACACCAUGGGAGCCGGUAAUACCCGAAGUCAGUAGUCCAACCUCGUGAGGACGCUGCCGAAGGUAGGAUUGGCGACUGGGGUGAAGUCGUAACAAGGUAAC
rnacentral:rRNA from 1 species